rnacentral:rRNA from 1 species
GAGCCUGACGCAGCCAUGCCGCGUGAAUGAUGAAGGUCUUAGGAUUGUAAAAUUCUUUCACCGGGGACGAUAAUGACGGUACCCGGAGAAGAAGCCCCGGCUAACUUCGUGCCAGCAGCCGCGGUAAUACGAAGGGGGCUAGCGUUGCUCGGAAUUACUGGGCGUAAAGGGAGCGUAGGCGGACAUUUAAGUCAGGGGUGAAAUCCCGGGGCUCAACCUCGGAAUUGCCUUUGAUACUGGGUGUCUUGAGUAUGAGAGAGGUGUGUGGAACUCCGAGUGUAGAGGUGAAAUUCGUAGAUAUUCGGAAGAACACCAGUGGCGAAGGCGACACACUGGCUCAUUACUGACGCUGAGGCUCGAAAGCGUGGGGAGCAAACAGGAUUAGAUACCCUGGUAGUCCACGCCGUAAACGAUGAUUGCUAGUUGUCGGGAUGCAUGCAUUUCGGUGACGCAGCUAACGCAUUAAGCAAUCCGCCUGGGGAGUACGGUCGCAAGAUUAAAACUCAAAGGAAUUGACGGAAGUUGAAACUCAA